rnacentral:lncRNA from 1 species
AGCAAAUAGACAAAGCCUACUCGAGCGGGCAGAAUGUACGAGACUCUGUUUUUCCUCCCAGAGCCGAAGUUAAAAAUUAUUCAGUGUAGAAUUCCUGGCCUGUGAACCAGAGGCUCCGCACUGUACCAGGCAAAGAUUUUCACCAGCAUUCCGCUUAGCCAAGGCGGAGAUAACAGCGCUGCGAAGCACUUGGAAUAAAUCCGCUCUUCCGAGAUUCCUCCGGGGUGCUCCUCUUCAGCUCUGUUUUCCCCGGGCUUCGUAAGUGCCAUGGCCUGCUGGUGGAGCAAGGCGGGAGGGAGGAGAGCUGCGCGCCGGCGGUGUGCCAGCAUCCCACGUCACGUUGGCCUAAAGAGGUGAUCGCCUCUCGAGAUGAAAUCAGCACACGAGAUUCUAGGCCGUAUGUAAAAGGUAUGCAUAUGUGCAUAGAUACAAGUGUACAUAUAGGUAGCAUGCUAGGCUUGACAUAAUUAAAACUUAAAAAAAACACACAGGGCAUCCAGAGGCCGUAGAGGGCAACAGGAAAUCUCUCAUCAGCUUCCCUGGAAUUUGGAUUCUGAUUAGUAUCUGCUAUCUCUUAUAGAAAUGGUUUUUGUUGUUGUUGUUGUUUGGUUUGGUUUGGUUUGGUUUCACUUUGGCUUAAGUGAAGAGGAUAAUUAUUGCUAAUGAUUUAUAGGGCGGUGACAGGUAGAAAGAGAACGCGUUUCAGAAGAAUGGCAAACGGUUUUCUUGGGAGAAACCACGCUCGGGCGGCUCUCUGACCUCGUCG